rnacentral:rRNA from 1 species
AUGACGGAGAUGCGGACUCCGGCUCCUUAUGAGGUGCCGAAGAAGACCAAGAAGAAGGCCACAGGAACCCGAAAGAGUUCCCGGCGCCAGGUGGUAUCGGAAACAUCGUCCGAUAACUCCAAGGCGCACUCCUCCGUGAAAACGAGGAGAAGGAAGACGAAGAUUCUCCCCCUCCAGCCCGGGGAGAAAAGAAAAGGAAGGCCACCCCAACCGGGGAGGCCGAAGGGUCCAAGAAGGGAAGGACUCUCCUUCCGGACUAUUCCACCACCGCCGCCGACGGCGAAGACGAGUGGCUGCUCAGGGCCAAGCCCCUGGCGAAGUUGUAAGUAUUCGGAUACCAGAGUAACUCAUAGAAUACUUUUGUUGCACUGCUUCUCCUAA